rnacentral:tRNA from 1 species
CACUAGGUAUCUUAUACAUAAAGUUCUAGAUUUUUACUUUAGUGAAGGGUAUAUUAGUCCCCCUAGUGG